CACAAAAACACACUCUGAGAAUCUGCAGUAGACAGGCAAAGAGAAGAGGAAAGGCUGCUCACAUAACAGUGCCUUGCAACUGUUGAUCCAGGGCCAUAAUACAAUGCGAAGUUAAGGACCUAGUUUGUCCAGUCUUUCAUCUGGUGAGCUGUAUUCACGUCUGCUAACCUCAUUCACAUGGCUUUGGCUGCAGAAGAAGUCCUAGAACUCAAAAAACAAAAUAAUGAACUUGUCCAAGCUGAAACCUUACCUCGCCUAAUUUGACCUAUUGUAUGACUUCCUGUAGUAUGCUGAAAGCUAAUAAACCAAACAAAGGUAGGAAUCACACACAGCAUACUUGCUU